rnacentral:lncRNA from 1 species
AGUGGAUAUCUAUAGAGGUUGGACAUGUGUGCGGUUCGAGCAUUUACGAAUCUGUGAUCAUCAGAAGUGGUGAAUAUCUACCUGUACCAAGGUAAUAAGAUAUGAUCUCGUAUUUAUUUCUAAACUUCAGAUUGUAUAUAUGUGUUUUCUCCUGGGCUUAGAUAGGAUUAGAUUUGAUCUUUUUCAUGUAGGGUUAAAGAGUUUAACCUAUUUUAUUUUUCACUGCAUUUUUUAAAAGUUUUGAAAUCUACACAUGCUGCCUAUCCGAUUUUCUAAUAACAUCUUCUUGGAGAGAUGAAUACCAUAUUUGAAGGGAAC